rnacentral:rRNA from 1 species
UUGCACAAUGGUGCGAAAGCCUGAUGCAGCGACGCCGCGUGGGGGAUGAAGCUUUUCGGAGUGUAAACCCCUUUCGACCCGGACGAAUGUCCCGCAAGGGAACUGACGGUACGGGUAUAAGAAGCCCCGGCUAACUACGUGCCAGCAGCCGCGGUAAGACGUGGGGGGCCAGCGUUGCUCGGAAUUACUGGGUGUAAAGGGUUCGUAGGCGGUGUAGCAAGUCGGGAGUGAAAUCUCUGGGCUCAACCCAGAGACUGCUUCCGAAACUGCUGUGCUUGAGUGUGGGAGAGGCGCGUGGAAUUGCAGGUGUAGCGGUGAAAUGCGUAGAUAUCUGCAGGAACACCCGUGGCGAAAGCGGCGCGCUGGACCACUACUGACGCUGAGGAACGAAAGCUAGGGGAGCAAACAGGAUUAGAUACCCUGGUAGUCCUAGCCCUAAACCAUCAGNACUUGGGGUGUGCCCUGUACGGGGCACGUCCCGUAGCUAACGCGUUAAGUCCUGCGCCUGGGGAGUACGGUCGCAAGGCUG